CUUCUUGGUUUCUGUUUCACGAUCUGAAAGUUGAGAGAUUGGACGUUGCCCUUUCUCAUUUUCUCCAUGGAGUCUACAAAUCUCACAAACUUCGAUUUGGCUUGCCUCUUCAGCGUCGUCGAUUCGGAUUCGGCAGCUCCAGCAUCGUCGAUUCGGCGUGACACCUCUGUAACCGGCUUCGGUUUUUGUCUAUCUAAUACACUAAUCCUAGCAUUUACAUAGUUUGUACCACUCUCUCCGAUAAAUCCAAGGUCAUCGCUUCAACUCCGCCUAUAAAUGUGUUUGUUGCCUGCGAUGCACAGACUCACCGCUCCGAAAUCAGAAAUGAAAAUAUCUUUGAAGCAUCAACACCCACCAUGGCGAUUUUGUUACUGAUUUUCUCCUUUUUAGUUGAUCAAAUCUUUAUUUCUGGAUAGCGAUCAUUCCAAUAGUUGUAAGAACUAUUUUUCCGUUUUAUGUUUCUCUUUUUUUUUUUUUGAAUAUUGAGUCUCAUAUCAUUUGUCUAUUGAGCUUUGGUUUGCAUCUUUUUUUCUUUCAACAUCUUUUUUUUUCUUUGGUGGCAAAGUUGCAACAUGUAAUCGCAACUUUAGUAUCGGAGAACACUGGGAUAACAUAAUAUGCUUCUGGUGUUACCAGAAUCACUUUUAUCCCUUAUCCACUUCAUUCAGUUUCAAGUGUGCAAAUUCUUAUGAACCUCUAUUAGUAACUAAUGAUUUUUGGUUUAGUAGAUAUCCAAGACACUUGGUGGGCAUGCUCGCCGAGUCUAUGUUGGUAGUGGCUACAUUAUUUAGUCAAGUUAUGACUGCUGUUGGUGGAAACACUGCUGGUCCAGUUGAUGCUGUUGUUAAUGUUUAUGUAAACCAUGAGAAGUUUGCUUUUGUGGAGAUGCGAUCUUUUGAAGAGGCAAGUAACACAAUGUCUUUGGAUGGCAUGAUAUUUGAGAUAUUGCGUGCGCUGCGGCGUCAAAAUGGGAGAUAACACUCUUACUGUGAGACGUGCGAAUCAAGGAAUAACGCAACAUCAACCUGAACAAGAGAGUAUAUUGUUGCAUGCACAACAGCAGAUUGCUUUUCAGGUGCGUGGUCAAAUGUUGUGAGUCCGCGUCCUAUCCCCAGCGGUGAGCCAGUUGCAGGCCUUGGCAAGGUUUGUACUAAAACUCUUCUUUCGCUAUCUCUAUGUAGAUGUAUACAUGUGCAGGUGUUCUUGAAGUAUUGUGAUGAUUUUGAUGUGCUUUUUUCAACCCAAAAUCUUUUAAGUUUUUCAUGUUUAUCUCUUUCGAUCAUCGAUUUUGUGUCGGUUUUUUUUGUUAGGAUCAUCUAUAUAAUGUACACACAUGUUUGUAACUAAGUUUGCAACGUCUCAAGAACAAUGAAAUAGCCGGUGAGGCGAUUCGUUAUUAGGAUAUUUUUUGG